rnacentral:rRNA from 1 species
GGAGUGCAGUCGCAAGAUUAAAACUCAAAGGAAUAGACGGGGACCCGCACAAGUGGUGGAGCAUGUGGUUUAAUUCGAAGAUACGCGAAGAACCUUACCUAGCCUUGACAUAUUUUAGAACACUUUAGAGAUAGAGUGGUGCCUUCGGGAGCUAAUAUACAGGUGCUGCACGGCUGUCGUCAGCUCGUGUCGUGAGAUGUUGGGUUAAGUCCCGCAACGAGCGCAACCCUCGUCACUAGUUACUAACGGUUCGGCCGAGGACUCUAGUGAGACUGCCUUCGUAAGGAGGAGGAAGGUGAGGACGACGUCAAGUCAUCAUGGCCCUUACGGCUAGGGCAACACACGUGCUACAAUGGCCAGGACAAUGAGACGCGAUACCGCGAGGUGGAGCAAAUCUAUAAACCUGGUCUCAGUUCGGAUUGUAGUCUGCAACUCGACUACAUGAAGCUGGAAUCACUAGUAAUCGUAGAUCAGCUAUGCUACGGUGAAUACGUUCCCGGGUCUUGCACACACCGCCCGU